ACUUAGAAUCAGUAUGCUAUCCUCUGGAUCCAGAUGUCUCCAGACCCAGGAUGCAGCUUCACCUUCUGGUGGCCUCAGUGGCAUCGUGGACUCAGUGUUGUCCCCUCACCCCUGCGCUCUCACCGCCAUGCUCACCUGCUUGCCUAUACAGAAGCUCUUUUGAUCUUCUAAAGCUUUACAAAAGAGAGCAUAAGUAUUUUCCAACUUGAAGGUCACCCUGUGGUGCCUGCUUGGACCCUCCUCCAGGGCUGGUACCGCACCCAGAGGGCAGGCCACCGUAGGAGCACACGCUCAGGAGAGGGGAGCUGAGCACUGCUUGGUCUUAAGAUCUCGUCUCACUUCUUGCCAGGGUUUCAGUUGCAGCUGGACACAGAGAAGCUGGGUCAGGCAGCAGGAAGACGUCUGUUGGCUGAGGCCCUUGGUACCUGCGAGGGUUUUCUGCCGAGAUCGAGGAAUCUCUUUCAUAAGGAAUC